rnacentral:rRNA from 1 species
UGGGGAAUAUUGGACAAUGGGGGGAACCCUGAUCCAGCGACGCCGCGUGAGUGAAGAAGUAUUUCGGUAUGUAAAGCUCUAUCAGCAGGGAAGAAAGAAAUGACGGUACCUGACCAAGAAGCCCCGGCUAACUACGUGCCAGCAGCCGCGGUAAUACGUAGGGGGCAAGCGUUAUCCGGAUUUACUGGGUGUAAAGGGAGCGUAGACGGUAAUGCAAGUCUGGAGUGAAAUGCAGGGGCUCAACCCCUGAACUGCUUUGGAAACUGUAUGACUGGAGUGCAGGAGAGGUAAGUGGAAUUCCUA